AUUGAACGCUGGCGGCAGGCCUAACACAUGCCAGUCGAGCGGAUGAAGGGAGCUUGCUCCUGGAUUCAGCGGCGGAAGGGUGUGUAAUGCCUAGGAAUCUGCCUGGUAGUGGGGGAUAACGUCCGGAAACGGGCGCUAAUACCGCCUACGACCUGAGGGUGAAAGUGGGGGAUCUUCGGACCUCACGCUCUCAGAUGAGCCUAGGUCGGAUUAGCUAGUUGGUGGGGUAAAGGGCUACCAAGGCGACGAUCCGUAACUGGACUGAGAGGAUGAUCAGUCACACGGGAGCGUGGACGGGGACCAGACUCCUACGGGAGGCAGCAGUCGGGAAUAGUGGACAAUGGGCGAAAGCAUGAUCCAGCCAUGCCGCGUGUGUGAAGAAGGUCUUCGGAUUGUAAAGCACUUUAAGUUGUGAGGAAGGGCAGUAAGUUAAUACCUUGCUGUUUUGACGGUACCAACAGAAGAAGCACCGGCUAACUACGUG
rnacentral:rRNA from 1 species